GACGAACGCUGGCGGCGUGCUUAACACAUGCAAGUCGAACGGAAAGGCCCUGCUUUUGUGGGGUGCUCGAGUGGCGAACGGGUGAGUAACACGUGAGUAACCUGCCCUUGACUUUGGGAUAACUUCAGGAAACUGGGGCUAAUACCGGAUAGGAGCUCCUGCUGCAUGGUGGGGGUUGGAAAGUUUCGGCGGUUGGGGAUGGACUCGCGGCUUAUCAGCUUGUUGGUGGGGUAGUGGCUUACCAAGGCUUUGACGGGUAGCCGGCCUGAGAGGGUGAGCGGCCACAUUGGGACUGAGAUACGGCCCAGACUCCUACGGGAGGCAGCAGUGGGGAAUAUUGCACAAUGGGCGGAAGCCUGAUGCAGCGACGCCGCGUGCGGGAUGACGGCCUUCGGGUUGUAAACCGCUUUCGCCUGUGACGAAGCGUGAGUGACGGUAAUGGGUAAAGAAGCACCGGCUAACUACGUG
rnacentral:rRNA from 1 species